rnacentral:miRNA from 1 species
UGUGUGUGUGUGUGUGUGUGUGUGUGUGUGUAUGUAUGUAUGUGUGUAUAUAUAUAUAUAUUUAUAUAUAUAUAUAUAUAUACGCGUACACACACUCACACACACUUACA